rnacentral:rRNA from 1 species
CCUACGGGUGGCAGCAGUGAGGAAUAUUGGUCAAUGGACGAGAGUCUGAACCAGCCAAGUAGCGUGAAGGAUGACUGCCCUAUGGGUUGUAAACUUCUUUUAUAUGGGAAUAAAAUGUUCCACGUGUGCGUUUUUGUAUGUACCUUAUGAAUAAGCAUCGGCUAACUCCGUGCCAGCAGCCGCGGGAAUACGGAGGGUCCGAGCGUUAUCCGGAUUUAUUGGGUUUAAAGGGUGCGUAGGUGGGUUGUUAAGUCAGUUGUGAAAGUUUGCGGCUCAACCGUAAAAUUGCAGUUGAAACUGGCAGUCUGGAGUGCAGUAGAGGUGGGCGGAAUUCGUGGUGUAGCGGUGAAAUGCUUAGAUAUCACGAAGAACACCGAUUGCGAAGGCAGUUCACUGGACUGCAACUGACACUGAGGCUCGAAAGUGUGGGUAUCAAACAGGAUUAGAUACCCUAGUAGUC